AGAGGUGCGCGGUGUGGCCGUGGCCUGCCUUUCUCCUCUUGUCGUUGUUGCUCCGGGGGCCGGUUGGCUCCCGGUUUUUUUUG
rnacentral:ncRNA from 1 species